rnacentral:rRNA from 1 species
CCUACGGGAGGCAGCAGUGGGGAAUAUUGGGCAAUGGGCGCAAGCCUGACCCAGCAACGCCGCGUGAAGGAAGAAGGCCCUCGGGUUGUAAACUUCUUUUAUUCGGGACGAAACACAUGACGGUACCGAAUGACUAAGCCACGGCUAACUACGUGCCCGCAGCCGCGGUAAUACGGAGGUGGCAAGCGUUCUCCGGAUUUACUGGGUGUAAAGGGCGUGUAGGCGGGAGAGGAAGUCCGACGGGAAAUUCCAGGGCUCAACCCUGGAACUGCGGUUGAAACUGUUCGUCUUGAGUGAGGGAGAGGCAGGCGGAAUUCCGGGUGUAGCGGUGAAAUGCGUAGAUAUAAGGAGGAACACCAGUGGCGAAGGCAGCCUGCUGGAGAGUAACUGACGCUGAGGCGCGAAAGCGUGGGGAGCAAACAGGAUUAGAUACCCUUGUAGUC